ensembl:misc_RNA 7SK 7SK RNA
UGACGUGAUUUGGUUGUGGUAUUUGGCACCCCCAUUAACUGCUAAGGCUGCUUAGGUUAUCGGGCUAGUGAAGUUUAGUGUCUGCUCUCUCCUCUCAUACUUGGUGGAGCAGACGGCAUUUCCUGAUGAAGAAAGACAGCCUUCCUUCUGCCAAGGCUGUCCGAGUAGCUCUGUUCCCAUGCUAGAAUCUUCAAGUAAGCUUUUAAAGGCCACCAUUGGAUAGCCAAGCUGUAAGACCCUAUCCCCAUCCCAGUGAGACCCUGCAUAGGGUAGUCUGUUUACAG